rnacentral:rRNA from 1 species
CCUACGGGAGGCAGCAGUGGGGAAUAUUGGGCAAUGGACGCAACUCUGACCCAGCAACGCCGCGUGAAUGAUGAAGGUCCUCGGAUUGUAAAGCUCUUUUCUAAGGGAAGAAGAAAGUGACGGUACCUUAGGAAUAAGCCUCGGCUAACUAUGUGCCAGCAGCCGCGGUAAUACGUAGGAGGCAAGCGUUAUCCGGAAUGACUGGGUGUCAAGGGUGCGUAGGUGGUUUGACAAAUUAGUAGCGCAACUCCGGAGCUCAACUUCGAAACUACUACUAAAACUGUUGGACUUGAGUGCAGGAGAGGCAGGCGGAAUAAGUGAUGUAGCGGUGAAAUGCGUAGAUAUAAGGAAGAACACCGAUGGCGAAGGCAGAUUACUAGACUGUGUCUGACGCUGAGGCACGAGAGCAUGGGGAGCGAACAGGAUUAGAUACCCGAGUAGUC